AGCUCCGAGGUGUACUUACAUAUUAGAUUGCAAAUCUUAAGAAGCAGGCUAAACCCUGCCGGGGCUU
rnacentral:tRNA from 1 species